CUUCCUCCUCCUCCUUCCUCCUCCUCAUCUCCUCCUACUACUACUACUCCUGGUAUCCUCUUCGUCCUCCUCUUCCUCCUCCUCAUCCUCCUCCUACUCCUGGUGUCCUCUUCCUGGCCACCUCCUUCCUCCUCCUCCUUAUCCUUCUUCCUCCUCCCCCUCCUACUACUCCUCUUCCUCCUCGUCCUCCUCCUCUUCUUCCUCCUCCUCCUCCUGAUCUCCACCUCCUCCUACUCCUGGUGUUCUCCUCCCCCUUCCCCUCCUCCUCCUCUUCCUUCUCCUUCUCCUCCUUCUCAUCUCCUCCUCCUCCUCCUCCUACUCCUGGUGUCCUCUUCCUCCUCCUCCUCCUCCUCCUCCCUCCUCCUCCUCCUUAUCCUUCUUCCUCCUCCCCCUCCUACUGCUCCUCCUCCUCCUCUUCCUCCUCCUCUUCCUCUUCCUCUUUCUCCUCCUCUUCCUCCUCCUCUUCCUCUUUCUCCUCCUCCUCCUCCUCCUCAUCCUCCCUCUCCUCAUCCUCCUCCUUCUUCUCCAGAUAUCCUCCUCCUCCUGGUGUCCUCCUCUUCCUCAUCCUCCUACUCCUGGUGUCCUCCUCCCCCUUCCCCUCCUCCUCCUCCUCUUCCUCCUCCUCCUCCUUCCUUCUGAUCUCCUCCUCCUCCUCCUCCUACUCCUGGUGUCCUCUUCCUGGCCACCUCCUCCUCCUCCUCCUCCUCCCUCCUGAUCUCCUCCUCCUGCUCCUCAUCUUCCUGGUGUCCUCCUCCUCUUCCUCCUCCUCUUCCUCCUCCUCUUUCUCCUCCUCCUCCUCCUCCUCAUCCUCCCUCUCCUCGUCCUCCUCCUUCUUCUCCAGAUAUCCUCCUCCUCCUGGUGUCCUCCUCUUCCUCAUCCUCCUACUCCUGGUGUCCUCCUCCCCCUUCCCCUCCUCCUCCUCCUCUUCCUCCUCCUCCUCCUUCCUCCUGAUCUCCUCCUCCUCCUCCUCCUACUCCUGGUGUCCUCUUCCUGGCCACCUCCUCCUCCUCCUCCUCCUCCUCCCUCCUGAUCUCCUCCUCCUGCUCCUCAUCUUCCUGGUGUCCUCCUCCUCUUCCUCCUCCUCCUCCUCCUCCUCCUCCUCCUCCUCCUUCUCCUCCUCCUCCUCCUCCUCCUCCUCCUCCUCAUCCUCAUCCUCCCUCUCCUCAUCCUCCUCCUUCUUCUCCAGAUGUCCUCCUCCUCCUGGUGUCCUCCUUGUCCUCUUACUCCUGGUGUCCUCCUCCCCCUUCCCCUCCUCCUCCUCCUCCUCCUCUUCCACCUCCUUCUCCUCCUUCUCAUCUCCUCCUCCUCCUCCUCCUACUACUCCUGGUAUCCUCUUCCUCCUCCUCCUCCUCCUCCUCUUCCUCUUCCUCUUCCUCCUCAUCUCCUCCUCCUCCUCCUCCUCCUACUCCUGGUGUCCUCCUCUUGGCCACCUCCUUCUCCUCC
rnacentral:lncRNA from 1 species